AGUGAACGCUGGCGGUAGGCCUAACACACGCAAGUCGAACGGCAGCACAGUAAGAGCUUGCUCUUACGGGUGGCGAGUGGCGGGCGGGUGAGGAAUACAUCGGAAUCUACUUUUUCGUGGGGGAUAACGUAGGGAAACUUACGCUAAUACCGCAUACGACCUACGGGUGAAAGCAGGGGAUCUUCGGACCUUGCGCGAUUGAAUGAGCCGAUGUCGGAUUAGCUAGUUGGCGGGGUAAAGGCCCACCAAGGCGACGAUCCGUAGCUGGUCUGAGAGGAUGAUCAGCCACACUGGAACUGAGACACGGUCCAGACUCCUACGGGAGGCAGCAGUGGGGAAUAUUGGACAAUGGGCGCAAGCCUGAUCCAGCCAUACCGCGUGGGUGAAGAAGGCCUUCGGGUUGUAAAGCCCUUUUGUUGGGAAAGAAAAGCAGCAGGUUAAUACCCCGCUGUUCUGACGGUACCCAAAGAAUAAGCACCGGCUAACUUCGUG
rnacentral:rRNA from 1 species